rnacentral:rRNA from 1 species
GCCCGGUAGCUAAAUGCGGAAGAGAUAAGUGCUGAAAGCAUCUAAGCACGAAACUUGCCCCGAGAUGAGUUCUCCCUGAGACUUUAAGUCUCCUGAAGGAACGUUGAAGACGACGACGUUGAUAGGCCGGGUGUGUAAGCGCAGCGAUGCGUUGAGCUAACCGGUACUAAUGAACCGUGAGGCUUAACCUUACAACGCCGAAG